UUUUGUUGCUUUUCGGAUUUUGUUAGUCUAACAUCUCUAAAAAGCUCUCAAGAAUGCAGAGAAAUCUCUCUCUACAAAGAACAAGCUGUUUCCUACCUCAAGGUCAUCCCAACAAGCAAAUUUGCACCAUUAAAAAAUGACAAUUGUUUUACACCAGAUGCCUUUCCUGAGAGAACCUGGACCAGAAACUGAUGCUCAGGAUGACAAGACCACAGCACUGACACAUACAAAUUUUCUUUGGCAAAUGUUUAAUUUAAAAAUGAACAGCCAAAGCAAAUAUUUAAGUAAAAGCCAGUGUUUUAGGACAAAAGGUU